rnacentral:lncRNA from 10 species
UCCUGUAAUCUGAGGCCAGUGACCUAUGACUUGUCUCCUCACUUGAAGAAAUUACCAGGCUAGUUGGGUUCCAUCUCUUGAGCAUCUGUCUGUUGAUGGUGGGAGCUGGGCUAAAGAUCCUGAAGUUGACUGAAGCUGGAGUGUUCAUUAUGGGAUGGUGUAGGAUGUGGUCAGCGAGGAGAAAUCCCUCACCUCAGGUUUCAAUUAGUGCGGAAGAAAGAAAAAAAGAGGGUAUCAGAAACAGACCCAGAGAUGACUGGGGUCUGGGAGGAGGAAGCUGGAGAACCGGCUAAGGACAAGAAAAGAGCCAUUGGAGAGAGAAAGAGAUGAAGUGGAAGACAGUGAGUGAGGGGCUGGCAGAAGGAUUUCCCCUCUUCAAACUA